GACGAAGGAGUCUAACUUGUGCGCAAGUAAUUGAGUUAUUGUUGAAAGCUCAAUUGCGAAAUGAAAGUGAAAUGCUCGCCUCGUUGUGAGUUGUUGGAUGAUCCCUGGUUGACCCUUUAUUGGGAAGGCCUGGGCGCAAUCCUUGGGCAUCGUGACUGCUUUAUUGCCAGUCUGGUGCACCACGAGCGCACAAGUUGGUACCCGAAAGAUGGUGAACUAUGCCUGGCAAGGGUGAAGCCAGGGGAAACUCUGGUGGAGGCCCGUUUGGAUUCUGACGUGCAAAUCGAUCUUCAAAGCUGGGUAUAGGGGCGAAAGACUAAUCGAACUAUCUAGUAGCUGGUUCCUCCUGAAGUUUCCCUCAGGAUAGCUGGUAAUCGUACAAAGUAUGAAAUUUUUCAUCUGGUAAAGCGAAUGAUUAGAGGCCUUGGGGGCGAAAUGACCUCAACCUAUUCUCAAACUUUAAAUGGGUGAGAAGCCGGGCUUACUUGAAUGAAGCCAUAACGGCAUGUUGAAAUGAAUGAUUACCUAGUGGGCCAAUUUUGGUAAGCAGAAUCUGGCGCUGUGGGAUGAACCAAACGUUGGGCUAAGGCGCCUGAAUGAACGCAAAUCUGAUCCCAUGAAGGG
rnacentral:rRNA from 1 species